GGGUGGGUGGCUCAGUGGUUAGAGCCUUGGGAGCGAAAGGUCCCGGGUUCGAUUCUCGCAAGAGGCA
rnacentral:tRNA from 1 species